UAGCUCAGUUGGUAAGGAAUCUGCCUGUGAUGCAGGAGACCCAGGUUCGAUUCCUGG
rnacentral:tRNA from 1 species